CCCGGGUGGGCCACCGGGCCCACGCCGCUCAUGGAGGACAUGCUGAGGGGCUGGCUGUUGGUGUACAAGGGCUGGCUCUGGAGGAGUGCGUGAUCAGGGCGGGCUGGCUGCCCGCUGCCACCGUGGUGACCCAGGGCGCUGCACCUGCGGCACAAAGGAAGGUCAGCAAUGGUGGUGGGCUCGGCACGGGGUAGAACACAAAUAAACACUCCCAGCCUUCCCCUCCCGCACCUGUGCCUGCCACCGAAUCGCGCCGAUGCGCCCCCCUGCACGACACCUGAAGCAGUUCAGGGUCUGGAGCCGUUCCCAAGCAAUGGAGGCUCAUCAGUGUCCCAGGGUGUGGACUGAUUGAUGGGUGUCUGUCCCCACCUGACGCU